rnacentral:rRNA from 1 species
AUUGAACGCUGGCGGAAUGCUUUACACAUGCAAGUCGAGCGGCAGCGCGGGGGCAACCCUGGCGGCGAGCGGCGAACGGGUGAGUAACACAUCGGAACGUCCCCAGUUGUGGGGGAUAGCCCGGCGAAAGCCGGAUUAAUACCGCAUACGACCUGCGGGUGAAAGGGGGGGAUCGCAAGACCUCUCGCAGUUGGAGCGGCCGAUGGCGGAUUAGCUAGUUGGUGAGGUAAAGGCUCACCAAGGCGACGAUCCGUAGCUGGUCUGAGAGGACGACCAGCCAAACUGGAACUGAGACACGGUCCAGACUCCUACGGGAGGCAGCAGUGGGGAAUUUUGGACAAUGGGGGCAACCCUGAUCCAGCCAUUCCGCGUGAGUGAAGAAGGCCUUCGGGUUGUAAAGCUCUUUCGGCAGGAACGAAACGGUGGAGGCUAAUACCUUUCAUCAAUGACGGUACCUGAAGAAGAAGCACCGGCUAACUACGUGCCAGCAGCCGCCGUAA